rnacentral:lncRNA from 1 species
GGGGAGGAGUAACAGAGAAAGAGACUCUUUUGAACUAACUAUAUAGUUUUAUUUUGUGACAUAUGUUAAGAAGAUCUGCACAUCACCUUUCCGUGUCCGAACCAAAAGAAUCUUGAUCUUCUCUCUUUCUAUAAGACUUAAAGUUGUAACGUAAGAUCCUUUUUAAUCAAUAAACAUUUUGUAUUUUGAGGAUUGGAAUCUUAAUACAGAACUAUUAAUAAGGGUGUGGAGUAUAUACCUCAAGAUCCGAGAUAAAAUCUAGCUGAUCCAUUAGCAUAAUUGAGAAACCGUCAGUGUCUGGAGUUCCAUACCAAACAUCUACUCAAUUCAGAAUAAUUCCAGAAAGAUUCAACAUUGAUAAGCGAAACCACAACUAAAACAAUCAAUCAAGAAAGUUGUUCUUAUUGGCACCCCAAUC